UAAAAUUAUUUACUGCUGUUAUGAAUCAUA
rnacentral:piRNA from 1 species